rnacentral:rRNA from 1 species
CCUAUCAGUUUGUUGGCGGGGUAACGGCCCACCAAGACGACGACGGGUAGCCGGCCUGAGAGGGUGGACGGCCACACUGGAACUGAGACACGGUCCAGACUCCUACGGGAGGCAGCAGUGCUGAAUUAUUCGCCAAUGCGCGAAAGCGUGACGGUGCGACGCCGCGUGCGGGACGAAGGCCUUCGGAUUGUAAACCGCUGUCAGGGAUUAGAAAACCCGUGUAGUGAACAACUAUGCGAUUGAUCAGUCCCAAAGGAAGCACAGGCUAAUCUCGUGCCAGCAGCCGCGGUAAUACGAGAUGUGCAAGCGUUGUUCGGAAUCACUGGGCAUAAAGGGUGCGUAGGCGGUGCAUCAAGUCGGGUGUGAAAUCCCUUCGCUUAACGGAGGAACUGCACUCGAUACUAGUGCGCUAGAGGGUCAAAGGGGCAAGCGGAAUUCUAGGUGUAGCGGUGGAAUGCGUAGAUAUCUGGGAGAACGCCAAGGGCGAAGGCAGCUUGCUGGGUGACAACUGACGCUGAGGCACGAAAGCUAGGGGAGCAAACAGGAUUAGAUACCCUGGUAGUCCUAGCCGUAAACGAUGAGCACUUUGUUCCGGGAGACCUGAUUCUUUCGGAGCCGUAGCAAAUGUGUUAAGUGCUCCGCCUGGGGAGUAUGGUCGCAAGGCUAAAACUCAAAGGAAUUGACGGGGGCUCACACAAGCGGAGGAGCAUGUUGUUCAAUUCGAAGCAACGCGAAGAACCUUACCUGGCCUUGACAUGCUAGAAGUAGAAUCCUGAAAGGGGGACGAACCGUAAAAUCGGUAACUAGCACAGGUGCUGCAUGGCUGUCGUCAGCUCGUGUCGUGAGACGUUGGGUUAAGUCCCGUAACGAGCGAAACCCCUGUCGUCUGUUGCUACCAGGUUAUGCUGGGCACUCUGACGAGACUGCCGGUGUUAAACCGGAGGAAGGUGGGGACGACGUCAAGUCAUCAUGGUCCUUACGGCCAGGGCUACAAACGUGCUACAAUGGCAGGUACAGAGAGACGCAAUGCGGUGACGCGGAGCAAAUCUUCAAAACCUGCCCCAGUUCGGAUUGAAGGCUGCAAUUCGCCUUCAUGAAGUUGGAUUCGCUAGUAAUCGCGGGUCAGCCACACCGCGGUGAAUACGUUC